rnacentral:rRNA from 1 species
GGCGGCAAGAUAGCCAUUUAGAGGAACCUGCCCUAUAAACGAUGAACCACGAAAUACCCUACUUUUAUUUGUAAUACAGUUUGUAUACCGCUGUUGACAGUCAGUUUCUUUAGAAAACUUUCAAUCAUGAAAAAAUCAUAGACUUCAAGUAAAGGUGCAGCUAAUGUAAAAGAUAGAGGUGGGUUACAUUUAUUAGAAUAAAACGGAUAAAGCUUCUGAAAUAGCUUUUGAAGGUGGAUUUAAAUGUAAAGUUUUAAUAGACUUGAUGAGAGCUCUGUCUUGUGUACACACCGCCCGUCG